rnacentral:rRNA from 1 species
UGGGGAAUUUUGGACAAUGGGCGGAAGCCUGAUCCAGCAAUGCCGCGUGCAGGAAGAAGGCCUUCGGGUUGUAAACUGCUUUUGUACGGAACGAAAAGGCUCUUUCUAAUAAAGAGGGCCCAUGACGGUACCGUAAGAAUAAGCACCGGCUAACUACGUGCCAGCAGCCGCGGUAAUACGUAGGGUGCGAGCGUUAAUCGGAAUUACUGGGCGUAAAGCGUGCGCAGGCGGCUCUAUAAGACAGAUGUGAAAUCCCCGGGCUCAACCUGGGAAUGGCAUUUGUGACUGUAGAGCUAGAGUACGGUAGAGGGGGAUGGAAUUCCGCGUGUAGCAGUGAAAUGCGUAGAUAUGCGGAGGAACACCGAUGGCGAAGGCAAUCCCCUGGACCUGUACUGACGCUCAUGCACGAAAGCGUGGGGAGCAAACAGGAUUAGAUACCCAGGUAGUCCCUGAGCGGGCUGGCAAGGCGCAU